rnacentral:rRNA from 1 species
AUUGAACGCUGGUGGCAGGCUUAACACAUGCAAGUCGAACGGUAACAGGAAUUAGCUUGCUAAUUUGCUGACGAGUGGCGGACGGGUGAGUAAUGCUUGGGAAUCUGGCUUAUGGAGGGGGAUAACUACGGGAAACUGUAGCUAAUACCGCGUAAAAUCUUCGGAUUAAAGGGUGGGACUUUCGAGCCACCUGCCAUAAGAUGAGCCCAAGUGGGAUUAGGUAGUUGGUUAGGUAAAGGCUGACCAAGCCGACGAUCUCUAGCUGGUCUGAGAGGAUGACCAGCCACACUGGAACUGAGACACGGUCCAGACUCCUACGGGAGGCAGCAGUGGGGAAUAUUGGACAAUGGGGGGAACCCUGAUGCAGCCAUGCCGCGUGGAUGAAGAAGGCCUUCGGGUUGUAAAGUUCUUUCGGUGACGAGGAAGGUUGAUAGGUUAAUAGCCUAUCAAAUUGACGUUAAUCACAGAAGAAGCACCGGCUAACUCCGUG